rnacentral:rRNA from 1 species
AUUGAACGCUGACGGCAGGCCUAACACAUGCAAGUCGAGCGGUAGAGAGAAGCUUGCUUCUCUUGAGAGCGGCGGACGGGUGAGUAAUGCCUAGGAAUCUGCCUAGUGGUGGGGGAUAACGUUCGGAAACGGACGCUAAUACCGCAUACGUCCUACGGGAGAAAGCGGGGGAUCUUCGGACCUAGCGCCAUUAGAUGAGCCUAGGUCGGAUUAGCUAGUUGGUGAGGUAAUGGCUCACCAAGGCGACGAUCCGUAACUGGUCUGAGAGGAUGAUCAGUCACACUGGAACUGAGACACGGUCCAGACUCCUACGGGAGGCAGCAGUGGGGAAUAUUGGACAAUGGGCGAAAGCCUGAUCCAGCCAUGCCGCGUGUGUGAAGAAGGUCUUCGGAUUGUAAAGCACUUUAAGUUGGGAGGAAGGGCAGUAACCUAAUACGUUGCUACUUUGACGUUACCGACAGAAUAAGCACCGGCUAACUUCGUGCCAGCAGCCGCGGUAACAC